GAUGAACGCUGGCGGCGUGCCUAAUACAUGCAAGUCGAGCGAACGGACGAGAAGCUUGCUUCUCUGAUGUUAGCGGCGGACGGGUGAGUAACACGUGGAUAACCUACCUAUAAGACUGGGAUAACUUCGGGAAACCGGAGCUAAUACCGGAUAAUAUUUUGAACCGCAUGGUUCAAAAGUGAAAGACGGUCUUGCUGUCACUUAUAGAUGGAUCCGCGCUGCAUUAGCUAGUUGGUAAGGUAACGGCUUACCAAGGCAACGAUGCAUAGCCCACCUGGGAGGGUUGUCGGCCACACUGGAACAGAGACACGGUCCAGACUCCUACGGUAGGCACCAGUAGGCAAUCUUCCGCAAUGGGCGAAAGCCUUACGGAACAACGCCGCGUGAGUGAUGACGGUCUUCGGAUCGUAAAACUCUGCUACUAGGGAAGAACAUAUGUGUAAGUUACUGUGCACAUCUUGACGGUACCUAAUCAGAAAGCCACGGCUAACUACGUG
rnacentral:rRNA from 1 species